rnacentral:rRNA from 1 species
CGACCGGCGCACGGGUGAGUAACGCGUAUGUAAUCUACCUGUAACAGAGGGAUAACCCGGAGAAAUCCGGACUAAUACCUCAUAGCACAUAUUAUUCGCAUGAAUUUUAUGUUAAAGAGACUCGGUUACAGAUGAACAUGCGUUCCAUUAGCUAGUUGGCGGGGUUACGGCCCACCAAGGCAACGAUGGAUAGGGGUUCUGAGAGGAAGGUCCCCCACACUGGUACUGAGGCACGGACCAG